CCUACGGGUGGCAGCAGUGAGGAAUAUUGGUCAAUGGACGUACGUCUGAACCAGCCAUGUCGCGUGCAGGAAGACGGCUCUAUGAGUUGUAAACUGCUUUUGUACGAGGGUAAAGGCAGAUACGUGUAUCUGUCUGAAAGUAACGUACGAAUAAGGAUCGGCUAACUCCGUGCCAGCAGCCGCGGUAAUAAGGAGGAUUCAAGCGUUAUCCGGGUUUAUUGGGUUUAAAGGGUGCGUUAGCGGUAGGAUAAGUUAAGGGUGAAAACCCGAGGCUCAACUUCGGAAUUGCCGCUGAUACUGGUCGGCUAGAGAGUAGUGGCGGUAGGCGGAAUGUAUGGUGUAGCGGUGAAAUGCAUAGAGAUCAUGCAGAACACCGAUUGCGAAGGCAGCUUACCAAGCUACUUCUGACGUUGAAGCACGAAAGCGUGGGGAGCAAACAGGAUUAGAUACCCCGGUAGUC
rnacentral:rRNA from 1 species